GAUUAGCUACGAUUAUUCAGAGCCUUUACCCCACAAAUUUUACAUUAGUACACUCUGGACCAACACUGUACUUAAGCACCCUCAAUAUCGCCACAAAAGAAUUUCUCAUAGGACAAAGGUAACUCUUAAUUUAAACUACAGAUGGUCGCCAUUCUACUGAAUCUUUACCUCCUGUGCUGACUAAUCUUCAGACCGGAUUCGCCGCCUCGCAUGGCAUUGGAGGACAGAUGGUCAUAUCCUCCUCCUUUGAUAUUCAAAUCUAGCAGCAGUAAGCCCUCAUCUUGAGAACACUUGACAUCGUCGGAAUCCUGAAUUCCAUGGUAGAGCUGAAAGCCUAGAUUGGUAGUUCUGAGAUUGUCUUCAGAUAUCGCUUUCGCUAGCUCUCCAUUGUUCUGUUCACACACUUGUGAAACAUUGUUCAUGAAUCCUGAAAGAGCCAGGUUGAAAUCUGUAAGCUGCGUUCUGGUUGCUUCGAGGUUUGCAGUUCCAGUUGCAUCAUAGGAGAGGUUGUUCUGGGCUUUCUCCAGUAUCGUCUGCAGGUAUUUCCCUUGGGCCUCAAUUCGCAUUUGAAGCUUCUUCUGAACCUGUACGUGGAGCAACACAUUGACCUGUUAGUUUUUGUGUUCUGAGCUACACUACGAUUCAAGCAGGGAAGCUAAUGGGUGA
rnacentral:sRNA from 1 species